rnacentral:rRNA from 1 species
UACGUAGGUGGCAAGCGUUGUCCGGAUUUAUUGGGUUUAAAGGGUGCGUAGGCGGUUCUAUAAGUCAGUGGCGAAAUCCGGCAGCUCAACUGUCGAUGUGCCAUUGAUACUGCAGAACUUGAGUACAGACGAGGUAGGCGGAAUUGACGGUGUAGCGGUGAAAUGCUUAGAUAUGACAUAGAACACCCAUUGCGAAGGCAGCUCGCUACACUAUUAUUGACGCUGAGGCACGAAAGCGUGGGGAUCAAACAGG